GAGGCGGGCAGCGUGCGGCGCGUACGCGCAGGAGCCUGGGGGCGGCUGAGCCAAGAGGGACGUGGCGCUCUGCGACGCGGGCGGGGAAACCGCGCCCCUUCCUUCUCGAGCGUUGUGGAGCAAGAUUUGGGCGGGAUCCCACGGAACAAGAACUGGCAAGUUUUUCAUUGUGUUCAGAAGAGGGGAGAGGGAGAUGGUAGUACUUACUCGCAAGAGACAGUGAAUUGAGCAAGCAAGCUGCAUAGGCUUAAAGUCAGUACAGAAAUCCAUGCUGUACUGUGAAGCAGCCAUGCAGGCCUCAUAAGCCUGUGUCUAAAUGACCUUGAAACCCCUCAUCUGAGGACUGAAGAUGCCAGCAGGAUGAAUCAGCAACAGGAAAGAGAAACUCUAGGAGGACUGGGAACCCAGGAUUGGUGGUUCUGUAGCCAGGAACAAAGCCCAAAAGCACACCCUAGAGCUGAGCUGGUGAAGACGCCACAGUGGCCACUAGGCCCAAACACUGUAGCUCGUGUCAGGGAUCCCCCAACCUGACACUGGAUGCCUGCCUCGGGAUCCACUGCCACUGCUACUCUGGGAACUGGAUGGAGCUGAGGGGACUGCAGCCGCCUUACUAGAAGAGAUUCCACACAGCCCCUGCUUCUUUACGUCUGUAACUUCACACCCACCAUCGUUUUCUGAGGAACCUGCCUCACCCAGCCCGCUACUGAGGGAACGUGUGGGAGUCAAGCUAUUCUAUAAACAGAGGUGGCUACUGGUUGGACUAGCCAUGGGACCUGAUUCGAGAACCACAAACCCACAGACUGGCCUGUGAGAAUGAGAUUGCUCAGCCGUCAAAGCUCUGACCAAUCGGCAUAAUGAAAGCUAUUUGAAUCAAUUUGGCUCUACUUCUGAAAUCUGAAAUUUGAGAAAAUAUUGAAAGACUCACUGGUUGGCAGCAGGGGGAGAUAUGAGAAGACACACGAGGAGAAACAGAGAUAAGAGAGAUGAAAAACUCCCAUUAAUAAUGGGAUAAUAAAUGACAAGGGAUAGUGAAAUAACCUGAGCCCCAGGCUAGCCUUGCAUUCUGAAGGAUGACUGCUCUGAGAUUUCUGUGAAAUUCUCUUUCCCUCAGUGCUACAUGUAUCCUGCUUGAGUGAUGACUACAAAAUUAUUAAUAUAUUUAUUAAUUAAUGUAUUUAACUAAUUAAUGUAAUAAAUAAUGUCUUUAUUAAUGUAAUGAUUUAUGUACUUAUAACACAUAUUAAGUGUUAUAUAAAUGUUACGUAAAGAUAUAUGAAUAAUCUUGCUGCCUAGUGUAUUCAUUUUCAAGUAAUGUGUUCAGGUACACUAAGGCUAAGUGUAUAAUAAUGUUAAAACUUUCUCAAAAGAAGAGUGAGGAAGGACAGGAUAUAUCUACAAAAAAUGGAAUGGGUUUACUUUUUUUCACCACCACCCCAUCUACAUCCCCUAGUUGUUUGGAACUUUUGUUGAGGUUGCCUGACAUCCCUACUCAUGUGCCUGUGCAGAGGACAGACUCGUCCGGGUUCCAUUGUAAGAUCUCCUUCCAUAGCCUGCCUUGUCCUCCUGAGAGUGCCCUUCCUUUCGGUUCCCCUCCCUAAGGCUGCAGUUCUGUUCCUUUGCCCCAGCCCUGCUCCAUGGCCCUGCCCAGUGGGAAGAUCUCCUGGCUGCAGAAUGCCUGCCUUGGCUAACCAUACAGAUGGACCAGGCAUGGCCUCUGCCUUGUGAGUGACUCUGCCCUUAGGUCACUCACAAACCAAGAGGAUCAGUACUGUGUAAUCUUGAAACUAGCCAUUUUGACUAUAUAAGAGAACUUGACCUGCUUUCAUGUGGUUCUCUAGCAUAAUUUACAUCCACACCUUUGACCAUAAUCAGUCAGUUAUGAUUUAUAUUGAGCCAUCCAGAAAUAGAACCACUUCCUUAGAGGAAAUUACGUUAGAACAACGUCUCCUGUGGUUUACUUUGAUGCAUUCUCAUUUUGACAACAGGAAAUUUCGUCCCUGGAAAGAAUUUUAAGUUGCAUGAUAUUGUAGAAAGUGUUCCUAGCUAGAAGUCAGGCCUCCUGGAGUUUGAUCCUAGCUCUGCCCCUAUAACACUGGGAGUGAGUUGUUUCACCUCUCUGGGUCUCCAAUUACUAAGACAUUCAGUGGCAUGGGAAAUGGCAAAUACUUUUUCAUGCUCUCGCAAUCAAAAGGAGACUUCUACUGAAUCAAUGGAACGUUGGGACUGGAUACCAACUAGUGUAACCCUCAUUUUACAGAGAAGAAAAUGAAGCUAAUAGUGAUAAAGUGGUUUAUCAAAGUCAGACUAUACAAUGAGAUCAAAGUCAAGACUACGUGAUGAAGGCCUGUGCUCUGUUGUUUGCCAGACCCCACACCAUUGUGUGCCAACUGGUUAUGAUGGAGCGGCAGACAACCUUAUGCUUAAUACAGUUUUCUUCCUUUAUUUAGACAAUUCCCUUUGAAAGAAAGUCUUUGCAUUUGUUGUGAUUUACUUUGAGAGAUUACAAGUUUUCGUCUUAUGUUGUUGGUUGUAAUAAUUAAAACUUUGAACGGCUUUAAACAUUAUUUGUGGGAUGCAAAAAAAUUAAGUAAAACUUUCUGAAAGAUGAAAAUGUUCCAGUUUUGUAACUGAAUAAGACGCUUAGCAUGCAGAAGAAGGGGGGUAUUAAAGUGGCUUUUUUUGGAUAUAAGAAUUAUAACAGGAUUUCCCUUGUGAGAAAAAAAACACAGGGACAAGUUUUUAAGAUUUGAAGGUCUUUGAUAAUUAACACAGUGAUAAUUAAUUUUCCUCUCAUAUGUUGUACUUUAUUCUUGUAUAACAACAUUCAUCUAAAGAUUAUAGAUGAAUUUUAAUCUUGUCUAUAAUUGUUUUAUAUAAUCCACUUAUAUUAACGUCUUUCUCUCAGUUCUCAGAGGAGCAAACCAAACUUCUCAGAAAUAAAAUGCCCUCAAAAGCUCUGCAUUGCCUGUCCCUUAU